UACGUAGGGUGCAAGCGUUAAUCGGAAUUACUGGGCGUAAAGCGUGCGCAGGCGGUUUUGUAAGACAGUCGUGAAAUCCCCGGGCUCAACCUGGGAAUUGCGAUUGUGACUGCAAAGCUGGAGUGCGGCAGAGGGGGAUGGAAUUCCGCGUGUAGCAGUGAAAUGCGUAGAUAUGCGGAGGAACACCGAUGGCGAAGGCAAUCCCCUGGGCCUGCACUGACGCUCAUGCACGAAAGCGUGGGGAGCAAACAGG
rnacentral:rRNA from 1 species